rnacentral:rRNA from 1 species
AACGAACGCUGGCGGCAUGCCUAACACAUGCAAGUCGAACGAGACCUUCGGGUCUAGUGGCGCACGGGGGCGUAACGCGUGGGAACCUGCCCUUAGGUUCGGAAUAACUACCCGAAUGGGGUGCUAACACCGGACAAUGUCUUCGGCCCAAAGAUUUAUCGCGUUUGGAUGGGCACUCGUUGGAUUAGCUAGUUGGUAGGGUAAAAGCCUACCAAGGCGAGGAUUCAUAGCUGGGCUGUGAGAAUGGUUAGCCACACUUAGACUAAGACACGGCCCGGAAUCUUACGCGAUGGUGGAAAGGCGGACAUUGGAAAAUCGGGGGAAGCAUGAACCAGCAAGGCCGCGUGAGUUCUGAUGGCAGUAGAGAUGUAAAGCGCUUUUAACCGGGAUCAUAAUGACAGUACCGAGACAGUAAGCUCCGGCUAACUCCGUG